GGUUUGAAUUACCGGACGGUUCUCCUCAGAGUUUGUUUAGUUGUUUGAUGACGGAUAUUCGAAAUACGUAUGGGAUUCUCUCUCUGUAGAUCAACGUGAGUGGCGCUCUCUCUCAUUCUCUGAAUAACGGGUCUCCCUCUCUCAGACAAAACAGCAAAAGCUUCUCUCCCUCUGAGACUGGUUCGCUCUUUGUCUCUACAUUCCUUCGCCUCCCUCAGCCCAUCCGCCCACCCACAAGUACAGGCUACACAGAUUUUGCCUGCUGCUGGAUUGCCUACAGCACACACGAGUCAAAACAGGCGAAAGCCCUCGAGGAAUUUCCAGAGGGCCGAAAAACCCUACAAGAAGGGCUCGAGGGGAAGUUUUUCAGUGGAGAAAAUAUUGGAUUUGUAGACAUCAUUGUAAAUUUUCUAAGCUUGUGGAUGGGAGCUCUAGGGGAAGCUGCAAAUAUAAUGUAUUAUGCUGCUGAGAAGACCCCACUUAUUCAUUCUUUGGAUUGAAGAGUUCAGAAGCGUUGAGGUUGUGAAGGAGAGCCUGCCUUCUCAUGAUAUGUUUAUUGCCUGUUUCAAAGGUUGCCGUGAGCAUGCUUGCUACCCCAACUUCCACCAAAUCAAGGGAAAUGGUUUAAUUUAAUUGUGUCGGUUGAAAUUAAAAAAUGUAUUAUGUACAAUAAAGAUUUGAGCUUUUCGAA